rnacentral:rRNA from 1 species
AUUGAACGCUGGCGGCAUGCCUUACACAUGCAAGUCGAACGGCAGCACGGGUGCUUGCACCUGGUGGCGAGUGGCGAACGGGUGAGUAAUACAUCGGAACAUGUCCUGUAGUGGGGGAUAGCCCGGCGAAAGCCGGAUUAAUACCGCAUACGAUCUACGGAUGAAAGCGGGGGCCCUUCGGGCCUCGCGCUAUAGGGUUGGCCGAUAGCUGAUUAGCUAGUUGGUGGGGUAAAGGCCUACCAAGGCGACGAUCAGUAGCUGGUCUGGGAGGACGACCAGCCACACUGGGACUGAGACACGGCCCAGACUCCUACGGGAGGCAGCAGUGGGGAAUUUUGGACAAUGGGCGAAAGCCUGAUCCAGCAAUGCCGCGUGUGUGAAGAAGGCCUUCGGGUUGUAAAGCACUUUUGUCCGGAAAGAAAUCCUUGGCUCUAAUACAGUCGGGGGAUGACGGUACCGGAAGAAUAAGCACCGGCUAACUACGUG